rnacentral:rRNA from 1 species
UGGGGAAUAUUGGACAAUGGGCGCAAGCCUGAUCCAGCCAUGCCGCGUGAGUGACGAAGGUCUUCGGAUUGUAAAACUCUUUUGGCGGGGACGAUAAUGACGGUACCCGCAGAAUAAGCCCCGGCUAACUUCGUGCCAGCAGCCGCGGUAAUACGAAGGGGGCUAGCGUUGUUCGGAAUCACUGGGCGUAAAGCGCACGUAGGCGGAUGUGCCAGUCAGGGGUGAAAUCCCGGAGCUCAACUCCGGAACUGCCUCUGAUACUGCACGUCUUGAGUUCGAGAGAGGUGGGUGGAAUUCCUAGUGUAGAGGUGAAAUUCGUAGAUAUUAGGAAGAACACCGGUGGCGAAGGCGGCCCACUGGCUCGAUACUGACGCUGAGGUGCGAAAGCGUGGGGAGCAAACAGGAUUAGAUACCCGCGUAGUCCCUGAGCGGGC